rnacentral:pre_miRNA from 1 species
UCUGACAGAAGAGAGUGAGCACAUACGCAGGUGAUUGUAUGCGGUGCCAUACCUUUGCAGGGUUUGUGCUCACUUGUCUUCUGUCAGU